CCAGCCAACUAAAAACCAAACUUCAAAUCAAUUCAUUCUAAAAGUGCCCGGAUGCUUCAGCUCAGAUGGAUACGCUAUUGGAAGAUCCGAUUUUUAUCACCCUGCGGGAA